rnacentral:rRNA from 1 species
AUGAACGCUGGCGGCGUGCCUAACACAUGCAAGUCGCACGGAGUCCAGCCUUUAAGACCUUCGGGUCAAAGAGGGGAAGACUGAGUGGCGGACGGGUGAGUAACACGUGGGCAACCUGGCUCAUAGAGGGGGAUAACAGAGAGAAAUUUCUGCUAAUACCGCAUAAGCACACACUGCCGCAUGGCAGAGGGUGAAAAGAGAAUCGCUAUGAGAUGGACCCGCGUCUGAUUAGCCAGUUGGCAGGGUAAGAGCCUACCAAAGCGACGAUCAGUAGCCGAUCUGAGAGGAUGAACGGCCACAUUGGGACUGAGACACGGCCCAAACUCCUACGGGAGGCAGCAGUGGGGGAUAUUGCACAAUGGGGGGAACCCUGAUGCAGCGACGCCGCGUGAGUGAAGAAGUAUUUCGGUAUGUAAAGCUCUAUCAGCAGGGAAGAUAAUGACAGUACCUGAAUAAGAAGCCCCGGCUAACUACGUG